UACAGAGGGUGCAAGCGUUAAUCGGAAUUACUGGGCGUAAAGCGAGCGUAGUCGGUUAUUUAAGUCGGAUGUGAAAUCCCCGGGCUCAACCUGGGAAUUGCGAUGGAGACUGCAACGCUAGAAUCUGGCAGAGGGGGGUAGAAUUCCACGUGUAGCAGUGAAAUGCGUAGAGAUGUGGAGGAACACCGAUGGCGAAGGCAGCCCCCUGGGUCAAGAUUGACGCUCAUGCACGAAAGCGUGGGGAGCAAACAGG
rnacentral:rRNA from 1 species